rnacentral:rRNA from 1 species
CGAUGCAACGCGAAAACCUUACUACCUUGACAUGUCCGGAAUCCUGCAGAGAUGCGGGAGUGCCGAAAGGGAAUCGGAACACAGGUGCUGCAUGGCUGUCGUCAGCUCGUGUCGUGAGAUGUUGGGUUAAAUCCCGCAACGAGCGCAACCCUUAUCAUUAGUUGCUACGCAAGGGCACUCUAAUGAGACUGCCGGUGACAAACCGGAGGAAGGUGGGGAUGACGUCAAGUCCUCAUGGCCCUUAUGGGUAGGGCUUCACACGUCAUACAAUGGUCGGUACAGAGGGUUGCCAAGCCGCGAGGCGGAGCCAAUCCCACAAAGCCGAUCGUAGUCCGGAUUGUUCUCUGCAACUCGAGAGCAUGAAGUCGGAAUCGCUAGUAAUCGCAGGUCAGCAUACUGCGGUGAAUACGUUCCCGGGUCUU